UACGUAGGGGGCAAGCGUUGUCCGGAAUCAUUGGGCGUAAAGAGCGCGUAGGCGGCUUGUCGCGUCGACUGUGAAAAUCCCGCGGCUCAACUGCGGGUCUGCAGUCGAUACGGGCAGGCUAGAGUUCGGUAGGGGGAGACUGGAAUUCCUGGUGUAGCGGUGAAAUGCGCAGAUAUCAGGAGGAACACCGAUGGCGAAGGCAGGUCUCUGGGCCGAUACUGACGCUGAGGAGCGAAAGCGUGGGGAGCGAACAGG
rnacentral:rRNA from 1 species